AACGAACGCUGGCGGCAUGCCUAACACAUGCAAGUCGAACGGAUGGCUUCGGCCAUGAGUGGCGCACGGGUGAGUAACGCGUGGGAACCUGCCCAUCGGUGGGGGAUAACCUCGGGAAACUGAGGCUAAUACCGCAUACGCUCUGGCAACGGAGGAAAGACUUGUUGCCGAUGGAGGGGCCCGCGUCGGAUUAGGUAGUUGGUGGGGUAACGGCCUACCAAGCCUGUGAUCCGUAGCUGGUCUGAGAGGAUGAUCAGCCACACUGGGACUGAGACACGGCCCAGACUCCUACGGGAGGCUG
rnacentral:rRNA from 1 species